rnacentral:rRNA from 1 species
UACGGGGGGGGCAAGCGUUGUUCGGAUUUACUGGGCGUAAAGGGCGCGUAGGCGGUCAGCACAAGUCAGUUGUGAAAUCUCCGAGCUUAACUCGGAAAGGUCAACUGAUACUGUGCGACUAGAGUGCGGAAGGGGCAACUGGAAUUCUUGGUGUAGCGGUGAAAUGCGUAGAUAUCAAGAGGAACACCUGCGGCGAAGGCGGGUUGCUGGGCCGACACUGACGCUGAAGUGCGAAAGCCAGGGGAGCGAACGGG